rnacentral:rRNA from 2 species
AGAGUUUGAUCCUGGCUCAGGAUGAACGCUGGCGGUAUGCUUAACACAUGCAAGUCGAACGAAAGCUUUAUGCUUUAGUGGCGAACGGGUGCGUAAUACGUGAGAAUCUGCCCUUAGGAGGAGAAUAACUUCUGGAAACGGUUGCUAAGUCUCCAUAUGCCGAGAGGUAAAAUAGUUUACACUGCCUAGGGAUGAGCUCACGCCUGAUUAGCUUGUUGGUAAGGUAAUGGCUUACCAAGGCCACGAUCAGUAGCUGGUUUGAGAGAACGAUCAGCCACACUGGGACUGAGACACGGCCCAGACUCCUCCGGGAGGCAGCAGUGAGGAAUUUUCCGCAAUGGGCGAAAGCCUGACGGAGCAAUACCGCGUGAGGGAUGAAGGAUUUUGGUCUGUAAACCUCUUUUCUCAAGAAAGAAGUUCUGACGGUACUUGAGGAAUAAGCAUCGGCUAACUCCGUGCCAGCAGCCGCGGUAAUACGGGGGAUGCAAGCGUUAUCCGGAUUUAUUGGGCGUAAAGCGCCUGUAGGUUGUUUAAUAAGUCUGUUGUUAAAGACUAGGGCUUAACCCUAGGAAAGCAAUGGAAACUACUAGACUUGAGUAUGAUAGGGGUAGAGGGAAUUUCUAGUGUAGCGGUGAAAUGCGUAGAUAUUAGAAAGAACACCGGUGGCGAAGGCGCUCUACUGGAUCAUUACUGACACUCAGAGGCGAAAGCUAGGGUAGCAAAAGGGAUUAGAUACCCCUGUAGUCCUAGCCGUAAACGAUGGAUACUACAUGUUGCGUUUUUAAUGCAGUAUGGUAGCUAACGCGUUAAGUAUCCCGCCUGGGGAGUACGGUCGCAAGGCUGAAACUCAAAGGAAUUGACGGGGGCCCGCACAAGCGGUGGAGCAUGUGGUUUAA